rnacentral:tRNA from 1 species
UUGGGAUAGCUCAGUGUAGAGCAGAGACCAU